AUGUAUGUUACUACUUACUAUAAAUACUUCUCUAAUUGUUCAUGUCAGUUUUUGCAAAUCAAUUUCACCAGCAAGAGCGGCGAUGAGACUUCUCCGACUCUUUCUCCAGCGGUGGUGACUCUUCUUAGGCAUCUGUGCACAAUCCUUUCUCGCUUCUUCUCCAUUUCAAAAUCGCAGCUUUGCUACUUCGAAAUCGCAGCUAACAUUGCGUCUGGGAUUUAUACAGAAAUAGAAAUAGAAAUAAACCUAUAG